CAUGGGAGUUUAUUUCCUCUUUGCUGAUAUGAAAGAAUUACAGAUACAAAACCCACUGAUCUAUAGAAUAAAAAAAAAAAAAAAAGAAAUGUUAUUUUCCUGUAAAGGUAUCAGUUCAUUUAUAUUCAUUUAACCAUCCAUCCAUCAAUUCACUUUCUCACUCCCUGCACAUUCUCUCUGCCUCUGGUAAACCUACCCCACCAAUAUACUUUUCUGGAAUAUACAAUGAAGUUUCCUUAAAAAAAUGAAAUUAUAUGACAUUCAGCUGGAGUAGGUAAAGUGAAGUUUCCCUUCUCCUCCUCUCCCCAGCUCCUCUUUUAUGUUCUAGACUUUGAGUAAAUUAGCAAUGUGAAAAAGAAAACGGUUUAGUUGGGGAAAAAAAAGUCUGUGUAUAUCUAUAAAUAAUAGAUGCAGUAUAGGUGUUACAGAUGUGUAUAUAUGUAUGUAUAUAAUGUAUAGAGAGCAGGGUUUGUGUGCUCAACAUGUAUGUGCUGCUCGUGUGAGACCAGCAGUUCAUUCUCUGCCUCUAGCAGAAAACACACACUUACUGUACAGCUAUUUACAGCACUCACAAACCCGGGUUUAACCACCAGCCAGCCCGUGUGCUGCAGACAUGCACCAUCUCUAUGAUCAUGAGGCUCUGAACUGGAGCAGCACAUCUGGACUGAAACAUAAAACCUUUCCUGCAGUGCCAGCCCGUGUGCUUGGUGCCCAUAUUUUGGGUGCUCUCUGGAGCAAGCUCGGCCCCGCACAAAGCACACGGCACAGCUCAGCCCAGCAGCUCUGACCUCCCAAAUCCGAGUCCAGCUGUAUUUGUUCGCUUUUUGGAUGGAACCUGCAGCUGAGAUCCAAAUUCCCCUGCAGGAGAGUGGCUGGAGAGCAAAGCCAAACCUCUCCCCUGAACCUCCAAGCACCGAACCAGCCCCACCUGGGCGAGCUCUUCUUCUUCGCUGGGCGUGAGGUGGGGACAGGGGUGACUUCCUUCUCCCUGUGCUCUCGGUGUGACAGCCCUUCCUGGCAGGAAUGGCUCCAGGGAGGAUGAGCAGAGGCUGCCAAACCAUCCCUCAUUUCCCAGACACCUGUGCCGAGGCUGGGAGCGGAGGGAUGCAGAAAAACUUCUUUUUCUGCUUUAAAUGCAGUGGCAAGAGCUGUGUAAGGAGUUGCUUUUUCCUUGUUAAAAGCAGGUAAAUAGAGAGACAGACAGAUUUGGAAAUGCCUCUCUCUAUAUAGAUAAAAAUACACAUCUUUAUCUGCGGGCAGAUACGGAUAUAGAUCCGCACAGAAUUUUCCUAGCGGUGGCUGCUAGAGAGCUCCAAGCCGGUGCUCGGGGGGUCCUUGCCAGCCUUUCCCAAAACUCCCAGUGCAAAUAAAGGCACCAGGCAAUCCCCCCCAGAUCAAACAGGCUGGUGGCACUGCAGAGCCCAGCACCUGGUGGGGGCCUGCCCUGCCAGAGCUCCACAUCAGAGGCUGGAGUUCCCAGCUCAGUGCUGGAAGUGACACCUGCAGAUGUUCCCCUGCCUCGUGUUUCCAACCCGGGCCUGAACAAAUACAUAAUCAUAUCACAUAGCAUAAUUAAUAGUGCUAUCACCAUGAAGGACUCUUAAAGGGAAGGCUGUUGAAAGAGAGUUCCUGAAGAUAAUCCUUUUAAAAGGUUUCCUUAAAAUGCAACCACUAGCGGGAAUAAGGCAGGUUUAGUUCCAACAUCUUAAUGCCUCUGCAGAGCAGAGUUUUAGAUCUUGUAAAUGUCUUUCCUUUAAUAGUGGCUUGACUUUUGAUUUGGGACUUGCACUUUUUGGAGGAUCUUGCUGCUGUUGUGGCUCUCAGCAGAGAAGGUGCUCGAGGAGGCCCAGCCUGGCUCCCCGCUCAACUGACCUGUCAGGGACUCAUUCCUGCUGGAAUUCAGUGUGGUCCCAUCCUGUCCUGCUGGACUGCACUUGUGUCUAAUGACCCUUUUGAACAAUUUUCAGAGUGCUGCUUAAUUUGAUUUUUUCUCAUUCUGGAUGACACCCCAGCUCCUGGCCCACUGGGAACGGGGUUCAGCUGCUCCCCAGCUCUUUCCUUAGCGCUGUCUCCCGACUCCUCCACGGUGCUCAGAGAAUUCCUGCCAGGGCUGGUGAGUAAAUCACUUUAUUUUGGCUUUCUGAAAUGAUGUCUGUGUGCAAUGGGCAGAGCCACGUGGUGAUCUGCAUGUCCAGGGGAUAAAUGGGCACCAGGGGUGCUCCCUCAACCCUUCUUCCUCAGCCUCCCACCCCAGGAGCUCUUCCCAUGGUUAUUUGGCAUCCUCAUAUUUCCCAAUUUUUGCAUGGAGAGGGCAAAGCUUGAGGAACUGGGACCUCCUGCUGGAGCAGACCCCUGGCAGGAGACCCUGGGAGCAGCCAGGUCCUGCCUUUUGCUGUCAUUGCUUUUCUGGAGCUCCAAGCCAGGAUCCAGCCUCCUGGUUUUCAGCUGGAAAAGUUCAGAUUUGUGAAAAAGGUUGUCAAAUUGUUGUGGAAAUAAGUGAGGGCUUUUGGACUAAGGUGGCUGGACACCUCCUCCCAAGAGCAAUAACUAAAAAUUCAAAAUAAAAUGAAAUUCAGUUAAAUCAGAUAUUUUUACUUUGUCUUACAGCCGUGGACAAUCCUUUAGACUAUCCCAGUGCAAAUUUCUGGGUCGGUGGCAGCUGUGGUGUCUGAUCUCUCCAACGCCACAGGGCCUCUGGAAAACCAGGGAUCUCCAUUCCCAGGGAAGUGAGAACCAGGCUGUUGUGCUGUGGUGCUGUGUGUAGGGAAAAAUAUUUUGAAGGCAACAAGAGGUCUUUGCUGUGCUCUGUGCUUUGUCCCCUCUCAUGGAAGGUGGCACUGCUGCUGUUUGCUCAAGUUUUCUUUUUCUUGGUUUAUCUUUUGGCUGCCACAUCCAGGUUUUCUUCCUUAGCAAGGUCAGAGCCCUCUGAUUUAGAGUAUUUAAUUGCUUCUAAUUUCUCCAAAUUUCCGUGUAGGCAUUUUAAUGCUUGCCUCCUUCCUUCCCUGUGAGCUAUUAGCGUGAGUCAGUUUUUUUCCUGACAUAGACCAGGGUUUUUCCCCUCUCCUCCUACUCCUUCCAGCCCUACUUACGUGGGAAUUCCCCCAGCAGGCACUGAAAGAAGAAAGGGAAUUAGAUCUUUAUCAGAGCCUUACUUUCACCCAAGAUUUCCUUAGAUCAGGGAGUUAAACAGAGGCCAACAGAAGCCAAACAAAUGCUUUCUCUCCUACCUAGAAAGAACCUUCCUGCAGCCAAAAGUAUUCCCUCUGCUCCUUUGGAGGCAAACCAGGAGCUGUGUCCUUCUUCCAGAUGUACCAGUGUCAGUCCCCUGUCAUGGCUGGAUUUCACAGGUUCUCUCCUUGCCCACCAAGUGCCAGGCAAAACAAGAACUACAUUUCUAGCAGGAAAAAAAUAAAUAGAAAAAUAGAGAAAAAGAAAAUUAAAUCCCAGCGUUGCUUCGAAUCCCUGCCAACUUUCCAGGCCUUCGUAACUCAGCCAAAAUAAGGGCCACAAACCCAUUUUUCCUCAUUUGCAGGUCACCUUGAAGGGUAGAUGAGGAGCUCUUUCAAUAGCGUUUCUUUCAAGGGGAUUUCAGUGAGAAAAGCAGCAAUGAUUGAAAUUCUCUGUUUCCUUCCAGACCCUCAGGUUUUCCUGGAGGAUACACAAACACCGGGACAACUCCCCACUGUGGAUUUUCUCUCCGUUGCGGUGACAUUGCCUGACUCGAGGGACUACAGAGGUUUGGCACAAACAUGCUUUAAUAUAAUUUUUUAAUCACCUCUUGGCCUCCCAGCCCACGCAUUCCUCUUCAAAUAGCAGUGGGGCUGGAGGAGAUGCCUGCAGAAAAUGGGGCAGCAUCCUCUUCCCUCUCAAAACGCGGCUCCUCCGUGAGCUCUCCUGGUGUCCUGGUGACAAACACCCUCUGGGCUGAGCAGAUGAGCACCAAAAACCAUGGAAAGGAGGUGCAAAUCUGAAUGGUGAGGGGAAGACGUGCCCUGAUGCCUUCUCUCCUGGGGACAGGACGAUGGGCUCCGAUGAAGGGAUAAUGAAGCGAGCGGAUGUUAACUGCAAAUUAAUCAGCCCUGCCUUGGAGUGGAACACAGGUUCCUGUUUGCUUCCCCUCCUCACCCAGGAGCCAUCCCCACCAGGAAUGCCUCCUGGAUGCUGUGACAGAGCAGGGGAAGAAAGGAAAAAGAAGAAGGAGAGACACCCUGGCUGAGAAACUCCCAAUUCUCUUAGAAAGUGUCGAGUUUGACUUGGAAGAAAGCUGAGGAAGCUGAGGCCGUGCUGAUUUUGCAAGAGGAGCUUGCUGGAAACGCUGUUCUGAUCAUGGACAGGUCUGGCUCCCUCAGGGUGACCCUUUUCCCUGGAGAGCAGAAGCAGGAGGAAGCUCCACCUUUUCCAAAUCACUGUGUUUGGCCACAGUGAUGGACCCUGACACUGUCCAUGUCCUUCCAGGAGUAUUUCCAGGUGUCAUUUACUGUGAUAAAAUCCUGGCUCACUCUUUAGGAGGUUUCAGCUCAUUUAAUGUUCCCCACACUAACUCUGAGUGGCCACAUGGAGCUGGAGCUCUCCCUCUUUAUGGAGGUGUUUUGGGGCUGCCAGCUGCACUCCCUUUGAGAAGCUGCAGGUUUAAGGGGGAAGAAGCACCAAAAACCCCACUCUGCAAUGUCUGCUGGAUCAACUAAAAGCUGAAACUAAAAACUCAUCCGGGAAGAGGUGUGAGAGCUCAGCUCUGCAGAAGGCAAUGUUUGAAUAAUUCCAAAGGUUAUUUUCCAGCCCUAUUCCUCCAAACCCCAAUCUGCUGCAUGGUGUCCUGCCAGUCCUUCUGUUCCUCUGCCUUCCCAGACUCACACAUGCUCCAGAGGUGGCAGCAGCAGAAGUUUAGAUUCCUAUCCCACUUUUUCCUGGCUAUAAAGUUGACCAGUCACACACAUUAGGCUGCAGCAACCCUGUAUUUGCUGCAGUCUGGGAAGCAGCAGCAGGAAUUACAGCACUCCUGCUGAGGUUGUUAUGGAUUCUGCUCAGGGCUGCCAAAAAAUUCCUGCCACGUGCCCUCCCUGCUGCUGCAAGUACUGAGUUUUACUCCGGCAUCAUCACUGACUGCCUCAUGGACACGUUUAUGGCUGGUGUUGAGAAUGUAUUUCUCAUCUCCUCCAUCUUUUCCCAGGUCCUUGAGGCAUCAGGAGAUGACACAGCUGGAGAAUCCCAGAAAGAGCCAUGGAAGCCUGAUGCCAGCAGCCUCCUCUUACUGCCUUUGGGAAUGGUCAGGCCCAGGUGGAUUUGUGUCCUCAGGGAGCUGCUGCCUCAGGGGAAGCAUGGGAGGUGCUUGGCUGGAUGUCUUGGGAGCUGGUUCCUUAUUGCUGCACACCCACCUGUGGCUUUGUGCGAGCUGCUUCACCCCAGUGACACAGCAGUGUAAGAAAGGAAUUGCUGGGUCUUGUCCAUGAGACAUGGAAUUGCUAUUUUUUGUCCCAUCUUCCACCUUUGCAGUCUCCCAGAGCUCCCAUUUGGACUCUGGAGUCACACAGAGACCGUGACAGAAAUGUUUAGGUGCUGUUCUAAAGCUGGGUUUAGCUGCAUGAAUGCUCUGUAAGGCACAGCAUUACAGAGAGCAGCUCCCUUUCUCUCCCUCAUGGAAUGGGUGUCUGGAGGGAUGGAAUUGCAGCUCCCACCUCACCACACCAUUAUUGACAGGCAUGGCUGGUACAUGAUUCAGGUUUUUUGGCACGUGCCAUGGGGGAGCCACCUGGACAGGACAAGUGUUGUCACCCUCACAGGCCCAGGGAUGCCACCCCUGCAUCUGGAGGGUGGCAGAGCUUUGGAAAGGCAUCCAGGGAGUGAUGGGCAGUGUUGGGGAGGUUCCCACAUGGCCAAGUCCAGCAGGGGUGGCUGGUCCUGGGCACUGCUGGCUCUGGCACAGGCUGCCCACAGCUGCUGGGUCUGCCUCAUCCCUGGAAGUGUUGGAUGGCAUGGAACUGCAUGACCUUCAAGGUCCCUUCCAACCCAAGCCACCCUGAGAUUCUGUGGGCUCACAGACACAAAUGUGGGUGUUGUGAUGCUGGUAAGAGUCAAGGAAACAGCACAAAAGCAGCUUUUCCAGACUGCUCUGCUUCCUACAGCCUUUGGCUGUCCCAGCACACAACUCCAGAGGGCAAGGAAGGUUCAGCUGAAGGUUUUUGUGACAGCCUCAGAGGGAACCUGGUCUGAGGGUCCUCUUGGACUGCUGCAUUUCCUGCUCUCAGAGGGCACUGGCAGCACUUGUGAAAAGGGAAAAGCCUGCAGAGCCUGUGGUGCUCUGUGUUAGAUUCAUUCCCACUGCUCCAGGAAGCCCAUCUAAGGAAGAUUUCCUGCAGUAUUGUAGGAGCCAUGACGUGCUCUUAAAGUCAACCCAAUGACUGUGCCUCUGUAGGAAGCACAGGGGAGGAAGCCCGAGUUCCAUGAGCAGUGUGAGGGCUCUGAGCCACCCUCAGUGCUGCUGUGUGUAAGAGGUGAGUCCCUGCAGUGCCUGCUGUGCUGAGGAGCCUCCUGGAGAGCCUCAUUAGGAGGCAGCAGCUGAUGAGCUGCAGUGUGGGGGCUCCAGGACACCUUUCCCAGAUCAGUGAUGAGAGCCAGCCCUUGUACCACACUUGCCACACUUUGUGUCAAAGUGCUCUGUGAAGUGCUGCUGCCCUUGCUCAGAUGAGCAAAAAAGGCUUCCCAGGGCUGCCUGGAGGGCCAGAGCUGGAGAGGGGUUCCUGUGUCCUGGAGCAGGAUCCCAGGCUCUGCAUUUCCCCAGGGAGGGAUGUACAAGUCCUGGCAGGGCUGGGAAACAGCAAAGCACCCCCAGCCCUCCCAGCCCAAAAGGGAGAGGUAAAAAAGCUGUGGGAAAAACCUCUUGGAGGGAUUUUGGCCACUCCUGUUGUCUCUGGGGAGACUGGCAAUACCUCCAUGAAUUCUCUUGGAAACUGUUCACCCCUUUGCCGUCACUCCAUCCACUCUGGGAACAUUUCCAUCUCCAUCUCCAUCUCCAUCUCCAUCUCCAUCUCCAUCUCCAUCUCCAUCUCCAUCUCCAUCUCCAUCCCCAUCUCAUCUCCAUCUCCCACUUGUCUUCUGCUUCUACUGCAGUGAGGGGCUGCAGCUCCUCCCACCUGGGCAUGGCUGCUUCACUUCCCUGGUGGGUUCCAGCAGCCCUGCCAGGUCCAUGGAUCAUGUAUCCAGCCCUCUGCCCUUCCAGAGGUGCUGGAAGCUCUGCUGCUGCCUCCUGUCAGAGCCAGUGUCUCCCAGGGGGUUCCCUUGGUGUCCUGGCUCUCUCACAAACCAAAGAGGUGGCCCAUGGCAAAUGGCCUUCAUCCUUCCUGCCAAGGCCAGCAGCUUCUGGGUGUUGGCAGCCUGAGGCUGCCUUGUCCAGGUGGAAAUUGUCUUCUGCACUCAGGAGCUGCAAGAUACAAACCCCAAAGCUGCCAAAGAGCAGGAACUGUGGUUCAGUGCAAACAAACCCUGCUGACUGCUGCUCUACAUCUGUCUGUGCUGCUGCUUUACAAUGUCUGUGCUUUUCUGUCUCCAGUGUGCUGCUGCAGAGCUUCCAGUUUGAAGUUCAGAGCGAAAGAAUUUCAAAAGCAGUCCCAGGGAAAGCUCCUGUGAACUCCUGGGGAGGGGGUCAGAGUGGACACAGGAGAUUCUGGAUGUCACAAUAGCAUAGAGAAGCCAAAUAUCACCUCAGGGUGUCCGUGGCUGUGUCCCCCUGAAGUGACAGCCCUGGUCCUGUGCCUGCCACCAAACCCCACCAGCCUGGGCAUCCGGGCACCAAAAGCUGCUGCAGCACCAGAGUCAGCCAAAGCCCUGCAGGGGUUUUGAGACAGGCAGGUUUCUGCCUGAUGGAAGGCAGGACAAUGAUUUCAUGGCUUUUUUGGCCUUUGUGGUGUCUUGUAAUGAGAAGAUGCUCAAAAUUCUUGCCUGUUCUCUCAGCUUGCAGCGUGGGGGGAUGGAGGCUGAGGGAAAACUGAUGGGAAAAUGUUUACAAGCCUAACUACUGAGUGAGGCCUCUCUAAUGGAGGAUUUAAUCUGCAGGAUGUUGUUAUCUCUGCUAGAUUUUCUGUAUCUUAGGUACUCAA